AAGGUACCGAGAGCUUGCUCUCGGGUGACUAGCGGCGGACGGGUGAGUAAUGUCUGGGAAACUGCCUGAUGGAGGGGGAUAACUACUGGAAACGGUAGCUAAUACCGCAUAACGUCGCAAGACCAAAGUGGGGGACCUUCGGGCCUCAUGCCAUCAGAUGUGCCCAGAUGGGAUUAGCUGGUAGGUGGGGUAACGGCUCACCUAGGCGACGAUCCCUAGCUGGUCUGAGAGGAUGACCAGCCACACUGGAACUGAGACACGGUCCAGACUCCUACGGGAGGCAGCAGUGGGGAAUAUUGCACAAUGGGCGCAAGCCUGAUGCAGCCAUGCCGCGUGUGUGAAGAAGGCCUUCGGGUUGUAAAGCACUUUCAGCGGGGAGGAAGGCGG
rnacentral:rRNA from 1 species